AGUGAACGCUGGCGGUAGGCCUAACACAUGCAAGUCGAACGGCAGCACAGUAAGAGCUUGCUCUUACGGGUGGCGAGUGGCGGACGGGUGAGGAAUACAUCGGAAUCUACUUUUUCGUGGGGGAUAACGUAGGGAAACUUACGCUAAUACCGCAUACGACCUACGGGUGAAAGCAGGGGAUCUUCGGACCUUGCGCGAUUGAAUGAGCCGAUGUCGGAUUAGCUAGUUGGCGGGGUAAAGGCCCACCAAGGCGACGAUCCGUAGCUGGUCUGAGAGGAUGAUCAGCCACACUGGAACUGAGACACGGUCCAGACUCCUACGGGAGGCAGCAGUGGGGAAUAUUGGACAAUGGGCGCAAGCCUGAUCCAGCCAUACCGCGUGGGUGAAGAAGGCCUUCGGGUUGUAAAGCCCUUUUGUUGGGAAAGAAAAGCAGCAGGUUAAGACCCCGCUGUUCGGACGGGACCCAAAGAAUAAGCACCGGCUAACUGCGG
rnacentral:rRNA from 1 species